UGAUUCAGCCCACCACUGGAAUUGAGAACCGUUCAGAUCUCUUACGGAGGCAGCAGUAGAUAUGGAACAAUGGCGCCAAGCUGAUCAGUCAUGCCGCGUGGAGUGAGAGUCCUCGGGUGUAAGCUCUUUGUUGGGAAGAAAAGCAUCGCUAUACCCGGGUGUCUGACGUACCCAAAGAUAAGCACGGCUAACUUCGUGCCAGCAGCGCGGUAAUACGAAGGGUGCAAGCGUUACUCGGAAUUACUGGGCGUAAAGCGUGCGUAGGUGGUUCGUUAAGUCUGAUGUGAAAGCCCUGGGCUCAACCUGGGAAUGGCAUUGGAUACUGGCGGGCUAGAGUGCGGUAGAGGGUAGUGGAAUUCCCGGUGUAGCAGUGAAAUGCGUAGAGAUCGGGAGGAACAUCCGUGGCGAAGGCGACUACCUGGACCAGCACUGACACUGAGGCACGAAAGCGUGGGGAGCAAACAGGAUUAGAUACCCUGGUAGUCCACGCCCUAAACGAUGCGAACUGGAUGUUGGGCUCAACUUGGAGCUCAGUAUCGAAGCUAACGCGUUAAGUUCGCCGCCUGGGGAGUACGGUCGCAAGACUGAAACUCAAAGGAAUUGACGGGGGCCCGCACAAGCGGUGGAGUAUGUGGUUUAAUUCGAUGCAACGCGAAGAACCUUACCUGGCC
rnacentral:rRNA from 1 species